GAGAAACAGGAAGCAUCCAAGCUGUGGAGAGAUGCUGGAGAUCAGAGACCCAAGCUGCAAGUUCAGUCUCAGCACAGACCAGCACCUCUAAUGUUGUGAAAUGCUAUUGGAUGAGUUUGGGUAUCCCUGCAGUGUGAUCUCCUGCUCACCAUAGCUGGGUGCAUCUGGCAGACCUGGAAAUAAUACUUCAGCUCAGUGCCCAUUGAAGAGGAGCGCAGAGCAGAAAAUCAGUCCCUCUGAAAGCAUCCACGGAGAAUGGAGUAUCAUGUAAGAGGCCCUACAGGCGCUGACCAAACUCUCCCGGAGCACGUCCGGGCAGGACAGCUUGGCUACGGAUGCACAGUUCAGCUAUGAACUUUCCCAAAGUUCAGGGCUGUGCCUACCAGCGCAUCGCACCCAGCCCAGCGCAGGGACAGCACUUCCUCAUCUCCAGCGGAGGAUCAAAGCUGCGAUCCACCCCACGCAACCGUUCCCAUCACCAUCAUUAGUCCGGAGAGUGACACUGAGACAUUCAAAGAGUAACUGAGCACUUCGCGAUGCUAAAUCUGAAGGCGCUCGUCUGUUCCCAUGCAGGAUGGGGCUCCUGACUCAGCCAUCCCAGCUGUAAGUCUGAAGAUGGGGAAGAUCACCUGUGCCUAACUUCCGUGGGAGCCAGGAAUGUCCUGUUGCUGAUGGCCCAGACCAUGGUGAAGGGUGCUGGGACACUGUUUGGUUUCAGAACCAUCUGUGUUAAAUUUGACGUUUAGUAGAUCUCAAAUUAGAGCAACAAUAGAGCCCUGGCUGCUGCAGGCAGAGAGCAGGGCCCAGAGCAGUGAGAAGGCAGAGGGGAUCGUGCUACAGUGACUCCAGGGCACUGAAGUGCACGAAUAAAACCGAAGUGCAAAAUGUCACGAGAAUUCAUCAUGUUGUCCAGGGAGAAUAUGGGGUUAAUCUCCUAGACAGCAAACCAAGGACAAGCUUAGGGUGAGCAAGGUUAUUGUCAAACUCCAAACCAACGUGAGCAGUUUCACGUACGUCUUCACAAAUAGGCAGCACUCAUCAAAGCAGCUAAUUUAGCAAUUGUCAUUGAAUUCAUCAGUAAAAAUAAAUGUCUGUGGGUGGAGAUGGCUACUCUGAUGGGUCAUUUGGGCACGACAUUGCUGGUAAUCCUUUGGCAUGAGAAUAAUAUAGGAGAACCCAAAGCUCUGGGUGCAGCACCCUGGAGGUGGAGCUCCAUGCCAAUGGGGCUUCCCCUGCCAUAGCUGCAUGUCAUGCUGUGCCACUGCUAGGGCUCUGCUGUGUUCUCACUCUGAAUUUUCUCAUUUAAGCAUUUCUUUUGUAACUGUGCUUCCAAUUUUGUAAUCAAGAGCUGAACUGUGUUUGAUGCAGAUUAAGUAUAUUCCUAUUAACAGGCUGCCUUGAUGUUUAAUGUGGAACCACUCCCUCUUCCUGGACGCAGCAAACCCAAAUAACUCAGAAUCGCUGACGUGGCCCUUUAAGCUCCUGCAGCUGAGGUGGGAAUGGCGUGAGCACCAGUAUCAGGUAGCACCUGGCAAAGGGAAACUCAUGCAGAUGUCACACAACACUUUCUGGCAUGGAGCAGACAACAGCAGGACAACGUAGCAGCAGCAAUGUACCCCUUAUCCUCAUCUCUGUUUCUAUAAGGCGUCACAAUGAGUUCUUUAUGAUAUUGUGAGCUGCAAUAAUGCUAACAAAAAUCAGUGCAGGAUGCAUUAAAUAGCCUGAAACAACUUCAAAGGCAGAACACAAACAUAACUUUUACAAGGAAGCCUUUUGAUUUGGGGUGGUUUUGGAUGUUUCCUGGGAAGAUGCAUUCUUGUGCUGUGGGUUCAACAAGCUUUUCACUAUUUGUUUUCAACAGCCUGGGAGGAAAUAUAAUACCAGCAUUGAGAAGAAUGUCAAGAAAACACUGGCAGCAAGUUGGAUUAGCUUUUCACUCUGCUAGGAAAAAAGCAUCCUGAAAUUCAGGAUGUUUAAGUCCAAAGUACAUCAAUUAAUAUGGGAAAUAUGACUUUUGUUUCUAACUAACUGGUACUUAAAUUUGAACAGAGGUGGCUUCUUCAUCACACACUGGCAAAUUGCUGAAGUGGACAUGAGCAAACAGCUUGUUUGCCUCUUGGCCAUGGGUAUUUCUGCAGAGAAAAGCGUUCAGAGUGGCGGACACUCCCACAGUGCUUGCUGACCACGCUGUUCUGUACCUGUGACACAGUGUCAGAUACUGACCUAGAAGGAAGAGUUUAGCGCUGAGAAAGGAGUUAGGUCCUUCACUUGUCACUGCCUCCUAACAGUAAGAGGUGAAGAACGGGGAUAUAGGGAGACACUGGGAAGAACGGCUUCACCACAGAGUUUUCCUGCUGCUGAGAUUGGUAGUAGGUUCACUAAGGAAAAACAAACCAUCGUUUCCAAAGCACACAUCCCUGUUUCCUCCAGUAGCAGCAAAACUGGCUUCAGCUGGGAAGACGGGAGAACUGUGGGGACCUGGGCUGUACCCCUGACGGAGCACUUAUGUGAUCCCACACAGGCCGUGACAAACAUCUCAGCUUCCCCACCUCCGGAUAAGGAACAGUGACAGUUUGUCAUGUCUGCACAUAGCUUUGCAAUGGGCAGAUUUACAGUAAUAUUAAAAAUAUGAUCAGAGAGAGCUGAGCUGCUCCCUCCUUUCCCCUUAGAGCAGCCAGGUCUGACAGUCCAAAGAACAAGAGGCAAGAUGGCACCAACCCACGGCAGGAGAUGCACCCUAAUCUUACCUAAUCUUUUACUUACAGAAUUUCUGUGGCAAUGGGAUCAUACAGUUUUAAUGAAGAAUUGGAUCAUAUGUUUGUUUGUUGAUUUUAUUUUCUGUUUAUCUUUUGUGAGAGAGAGAUUUGUGGCAUUUAAAAGUAUUUUGUAGAUUUUCCUCUCUGUUACAGCAUUCUAUUUUGAAAGCUUACGGUCAUGUCAUGCAGAGAAUGAACCUCAGUGCUUCUUAUGGCAUCACCAGAUACUCAUCACAGUAUUCUGCCCCCAUAUACACACUGAGUGAACAGCCUCUCUCCACAGCUCUCCAGCGAUUACACCAUGUCAUUGGUGUCUACCCUUCUAAAAAUUAUUUUGAGAAAAUAACAUAAAAAUUGUGCUGUGAACUUCUUUCCAUCAGAAACCAUGGGACUCUCAAGCUGUGGAAAGAAGCAAAGCCUUCCCUAGAGCCUGGCAGCAAGCUGCAUUCUUGGCCGGACCGGAGGUCAGGAGGUGACCUUGCCCUGCCACACUUCCCGAUCCACCCUGGGCUGCUGCAGGAUUGCUCGCUGCCCCAGUGCUCAGCGCGGCCGGCACCAACAUGGCCUGACAGGGCUGGAGGGAAAAGGAAGCUGUUCCUAUUCCCACAGCCUGUUGUUUGUUUUUCAUGGUGAAUGGCAGCUCCAUCACUGUGUCCCACACGGUCCAGGCAGGGAGACGUGGGCUGAGGGCUGAGGCAGGUCGGCAGCCGUGCCAUACAGGUGCCACUGCCGGUGGGCCCCGCAGGGAGUAGCAGAGUGCUGCUACUUGGGCGGUGGGACAUCAGCCCACUGGUCCCAUCCCGCAACUGCUUCCUAUCUGAAUCUUCAAUUUCUUUUCUUCUGCUUCCUAGCCGAGCUUACAAAAGAUAUGACACGUGCUGUCACGUACACCUGGGAUGAUUUCUUGGCUUACUGAACAGUUGAGUGAAUGUCACUGGAGAUUCUCGGUUAGAAAGUGCAACGCCGACCAUCAUUGUAAGAAGAAAAAAUCUGAAGAAGUCCUAAAAGCUAGGAUGUACCAAUGGAUCUACAAUAAGAGCUCAAAAUAAAUAGUUAAAUAAUUAAAUAAUCAAUCAAAUAAAUACAUAAAUAGUGGAUUCACUAAGGCAUGUGUCUUUGUAGAAAUUAUCUGAAUAGGAAAAUAAUUCAAAGGACAGCAAAAGAGUCCAAUUUAACAUUUGGUUCAGAAAAGCAUCCUUACCCAACACAGAAGCCAAAAUCCUUGUAUAGAGAAGCUAAGCAUGUACUUAAAUGAUCUUCUGACUCAUGAAUUAUAUUUCAUUCAGAGGAAAGAGGUAUUAUCAGUUACAUUUCAUUGCAUUGUUGGAGACAGAUGAGUAUGUGAUUUAUUGGGCAAUCUGAAGUAGGACAAGGCACACGUGCAAAGUGAAAACAAUGUUAAACAGAGCUAGUUACUGGAGAGCUGCACAGCUUGAGUGAGAACAUAACCCUUAAUCCUCAGUGACUGCCGUGUCUUUCACCAUGCGCUCAGCAGCACGGCUGCACUUUGUAUGUGUGCAGCGUAGAUAAAGAAAAGCCAGUUUUACGGCAAGGGAAGCGCUGUUACAGUGCUGGGUUGGCCAGAAGGAACACCAAGUCACAUCUGAAAGACUGCUUUCAAGUUGCCUGACAGCCAGAGAUGUGUGCAUCCUUGCUCACAGGAUUGUAGCUGUCCAGGAUAUUCAUUUGGGCCUGAACUGAAGACUGCUGCCAGAUGGGAUAGUGCAAGGUCUUCGUGUAUGGGAGCACUGUGGAAGAAGGUACAUUACCAAGGCACAUCAUUUGCACAGUGUACAAAUCCAAGCUCACUCUUUCUGGUUGCAAAUGUGCCACAAAAUGGGUGGCCAGAGCUGAUGAAUGCACUGUUACUGUUUGUAUCACAUUGACCCCCAUGGAAACUUCAGUUUUUCUGCAAGAGAGCUGUAGCAACAAUCAAGAAUUCACAGUCUGAUUGGAUCAAACUCCAACAGCCAUGUUUUUCUGGGAGUAAUCAGGAGCACAGACUAUUCCUUUUGCUUCUGAGGAAACAGAUCUAAGGGCACACAAGGGAGAAACUAGAGAGCUCAGCACCAGAUCCAACUUGUCUUUCUCAUGUUAAUCACCUGUCUGUCAUAACACAACAGGUAAUUCCCAUUGUACAAGCAGGUACUUGGAAGACAAAGACAGCUAGCCACAUAUGUGAGGCUUAAAAUUACUGGCAAGUGCAGAAAUCACCCUACCUGAGACAUACGAGGCUGUGAGUUAGCCUGGCAUUCCCUAGUGAGAACCUGGCAGACGUGCGGCGUUUCUUUUGUGAAAACUCCUCGAUUCUUGCAAGACUGCCCACUCCCAUUUGUCUCUGCAAGGUUUCGUUUGGCCCAUUGCUGCCAGAGCUUCAGCUGAUGGCACACAGUAACAAAAGGAGCACGGGUACACUGGAAAGUGUGUUUCGUGGCCUCACCCACAUUAGCACUGGCUGGUAUUAGGCAUAUCCAUAUCCCACGGCGAGAAUUAUUGUACACUCAUUCAUGGCUGUUGCUGUGCGUUUGAUUCUGCUCUGUAUAGCUAUUGUACCUUUAGGAUUUAAAUUGUCAAGCAAAGAGCCUGCUCUGUAUUUUCUUUGCUCUUGUUUUGUGUCUGCUUUACAUAAUGAUCGAGGAUUAUACUGGUCUUACCUGCUUGUCAGGCAGCUAUUCCACUAAGUAAUAACUGUAUUGUUCUAAAUGUCUCACAUUUCUUGACUCAAAUUCAAUUUACGUUUUUGUCAC